AACACCUCAAAGCCUUCAAUUCAGUUUGGAAGCUUUGGACUUGAGCAAUCCCAACACCAGUCUCGCGACUGGCGGAGGGCUGCUUGAAAUGCAGGUGCAGCUGGACAUUCUCCUGAGCUAUAAGCAUAUUUAUUUAGUCCCGUCAAACGGAUUAUUACUUUUGCUGCAGCUAACAUAAAGGGAGUAUGACCGUAUUGGCUGACUGAUGCAGGAUUUCACAAGUGCUGGCAACAGCUUCUUGUAAA
rnacentral:misc_RNA from 1 species